rnacentral:rRNA from 1 species
GACGUAGGGUGCGAGCGUUGUCCGGAUUUAUUGGGCGUAAAGAGCUCGUAGGCGGUGUGUCGCGUCGGCCGUGAAAACCUGCAGCUUAACUGUGGGCUUGCGGUCGAUACGGGCAUCACUGGAGUUCGGCAGGGGAGACUGGAAUUCCUGGUGUAGCGGUGAAAUGCGCAGAUAUCAGGAGGAACACCGGUGGCGAAGGCGGGACUCUGGGCCGAUACUGACGCUGAGGAGCGAAAGCGUGGGGAGCAAACAGG